rnacentral:rRNA from 1 species
ACUAAGCGUACACGGUGGAUGCCCUGGCAGUCAGAGGCGAUGAAGGACGUGCUAAUCUGCGAUAAGCGUCGGUAAGGUGAUAUGAACCGUUAUAACCGGCGAUUUCCGAAUGGGGAAACCCAGUGUGUUUCGACACACUAUCAUUAACUGAAUCCAUAGGUUAAUGAGGCGAACCGGGGGAACUGAAACAUCUAAGUACCCCGAGGAAAAGAAAUCAACCGAGAUUCCCCCAGUAGCGGCGAGCGAACGGGGAGCAGCCCAGAGCCUGAAUCAGUGUGUGUGUUAGUGGAAGCGUCUGGAAAGGCGCGCGAUACAGGGUGACAGCCCCGUACACAAAAAUGCACAUGCUGUGAGCUCGAUGAGUAGGGCGGGACACGUGGUAUCCUGUCUGAAUAUGGGGGGACCAUCCUCCAAGGCUAAAUACUCCUGACUGACCGAUAGUGAACCAGUACCGUGAGGGAAAGGCGAAAAGAACCCCGGCGAGGGGAGUGAAAAAGAACCUGAAACCGUGUACGUACAAGCAGUGGGAGCACGCUUAGGCGUGUGACUGCGUACCUUUUGUAUAAUGGGUCAGCGACUUAUAUUCUGUAGCAAGGUUAACCGAAUAGGGGAGCCGAAGGGAAACCGAGUCUUAACUGGGCGUUAAGUUGCAGGGUAUAGACCCGAAACCCGGUGAUCUAGCCAUGGGCAGGUUGAAGGUUGGGUAACACUAACUGGAGGACCGAACCGACUAAUGUUGAAAAAUUAGCGGAUGACUUGUGGCUGGGGGUGAAAGGCCAAUCAAACCGGGAGAUAGCUGGUUCUCCCCGAAAGCUAUUUAGGUAGCGCCUCGUGAAUUCAUCUCCGGGGGUAGAGCACUGUUUCGGCAAGGGGGUCAUCCCGACUUACCAACCCGAUGCAAACUGCGAAUACCGGAGAAUGUUAUCACGGGAGACACACGGCGGGUGCUAACGUCCGUCGUGAAGAGGGAAACAACCCAGACCGCCAGCUAAGGUCCCAAAGUCAUGGUUAAGUGGGAAACGAUGUGGGAAGGCCCAGACAGCCAGGAUGUUGGCUUAGAAGCAGCCAUCAUUUAAAGAAAGCGUAAUAGCUCACUGGUCGAGUCGGCCUGCGCGGAAGAUGUAACGGGGCUAAACCAUGCACCGAAGCUGCGGCAGCGACGCUGAUGCGUUGUUGGGUAGGGGAGCGUUCUGUAAGCCUGCGAAGGUGUGCUGUGAGGCAUGCUGGAGGUAUCAGAAGUGCGAAUGCUGACAUAAGUAACGAUAAAGCGGGUGAAAAGCCCGCUCGCCGGAAGACCAAGGGUUCCUGUCCAACGUUAAUCGGGGCAGGGUGAGUCGACCCCUAAGGCGAGGCCGAAAGGCGUAGUCGAUGGGAAACAGGUUAAUAUUCCUGUACUUGGUGUUACUGCGAAGGGGGGACGGAGAAGGCUAUGUUGGCCGGGCGACGGUUGUCCCGGUUUAAGCGGGUAGGCUGGUUUUCCAGGCAAAUCCGGAAAAUCAAGGCUGAGGCGUGAUGACGAGGCACUACGGUGCUGAAGCAACAAAUGCCCUGCUUCCAGGAAAAGCCUCUAAGCAUCAGGUAACAUCAAAUCGUACCCCAAACCGACACAGGUGGUCAGGUAGAGAAUACCAAGGCGCUUGAGAGAACUCGGGUGAAGGAACUAGGCAAAAUGGUGCCGUAACUUCGGGAGAAGGCACGCUGAUAUGUAGGUGAAGUCCCUCGCGGAUGGAGCUGAAAUCAGUCGAAGAUACCAGCUGGCUGCAACUGUUUAUUAAAAACACAGCACUGUGCAAACACGAAAGUGGACGUAUACGGUGUGACGCCUGCCCGGUGCCGGAAGGUUAAUUGAUGGGGUUAGCGCAAGCGAAGCUCUUGAUCGAAGCCCCGGUAAACGGCGGCCGUAACUAUAACGGUCCUAAGGUAGCGAAAUUCCUUGUCGGGUAAGUUCCGACCUGCACGAAUGGCGUAAUGAUGGCCAGGCUGUCUCCACCCGAGACUCAGUGAAAUUGAACUCGCUGUGAAGAUGCAGUGUACCCGCGGCAAGACGGAAAGACCCCGUGAACCUUUACUAUAGCUUGACACUGAACAUUGAGCCUUGAUGUGUAGGAUAGGUGGGAGGCUUUGAAGUGUGGACGCCAGUCUGCAUGGAGCCGGCCUUGAAAUACCACCCUUUAAUGUUUGAUGUUCUAACGUGGACCCGUAAUCCGGGUUGCGGACAGUGUCUGGUGGGUAGUUUGACUGGGGCGGUCUCCUCCUAAAGAGUAACGGAGGAGCACGAAGGUUGGCUAAUCCUGGUCGGACAUCAGGAGGUUAGUGCAAUGGCAUAAGCCAGCUUGACUGCGAGCGUGACGGCGCGAGCAGGUGCGAAAGCAGGUCAUAGUGAUCCGGUGGUUCUGAAUGGAAGGGCCAUCGCUCAACGGAUAAAAGGUACUCCGGGGAUAACAGGCUGAUACCGCCCAAGAGUUCAUAUCGACGGCGGUGUUUGGCACCUCGAUGUCGGCUCAUCACAUCCUGGGGCUGAAGUAGGUCCCAAGGGUAUGGCUGUUCGCCAUUUAAAGUGGUACGCGAGCUGGGUUUAGAACGUCGUGAGACAGUUCGGUCCCUAUCUGCCGUGGGCGCUGGAGAACUGAGGGGGGCUGCUCCUAGUACGAGAGGACCGGAGUGGACGCAUCACUGGUGUUCGGGUUGUCAUGCCAAUGGCACUGCCCGGUAGCUAAAUGCGGAAGAGAUAAGUGCUGAAAGCAUCUAAGCACGAAACUUGCCCCGAGAUGAGUUCUCCCUGACUCCUUGAGAGUCCUGAAGGAACGUUGAAGACGACGACGUUGAUAGGCCGGGUGUGUAAGCGCAGCGAUGCGUUGAGCUAACCGGUACUAAUGAACCGUGAGGCUUAACC